rnacentral:rRNA from 1 species
UACGAGGGGAGCAAGCGUUGUUCGGAUUUACUGGGCGUAAAGGGCUCGUAGGUGGCCAACUAAGUCAGACGUGAAAUCCCUCGGCUUAACCGGGGAACUGCGUCUGAUACUGGAUGGCUUGAGUUCGGGAGAGGAAUGCGGAAUUCCAGGUGUAGCGGUGAAAUGCGUAGAUAUCUGGAGGAACACCGGUGGCGAAGGCGGCAUUCUGGACCGAUAUUGACGCUGAGGAGCGAAAGCCAGGGGAGCAAACGGG